AGUGAACGCUGGCGGUAGGCCUAACACAUGCAAGUCGAACGGCAGCACAGGAGAGCUUGCUCUCUGGGUGGCGAGUGGCGGACGGGUGAGGAAUACAUCGGAAUCUACUCUGUCGGGGGGGAUAACGUAGGGAAACUUACGCUAAUACCGCAUACGACCUACGGGUGAAAGCAGGGGACCUUCGGGCCUUGCGCGAAUGAAUGAGCCGAUGUCGGAUUAGCUAGUUGGCGGGGUAAAGGCCCACCAAGGCGACGAUCCGUAGCUGGUCUGAGAGGAUGAUCAGCCACACUGGAACUGAGACACGGUCCAGACUCCUACGGGAGGCAGCAGUGGGGAAUAUUGGAUAAUGGGCGCAAGCCUGAUCCAGCCAUACCGCGUGGGUGAAGAAGGCCUUCGGGUUGUAAAGCCCUUUUGUUGGGAAAGAAAUCCAGCUGGCUAAUACCCGGUUGGGAUGACGGUACCCAAAGAAUAAGCACCGGCUAACUUCGUGCCAGCCGCCGCCGUAA
rnacentral:rRNA from 1 species